AUUGAACGCUGGCGGCAGGCCUAACACAUGCAAGUCGAGCGGGGUUUUCGGACCUAGCGGCGGACGGGUGAGUAAUGCGUAGGAAGCUGCCCGAUAGAGGGGGAUACCAGUUGGAAACGACUGUUAAUACCGCAUAAUGUCUACGGACCAAAGUGUGGGACCUUCGGGCCGACAUGCUAUCGGAUGCGCCUACGUGGGGU
rnacentral:rRNA from 1 species